UCGGGAAUUUUGGGCAGUGGGCGAAAGCCUGACCCAGCAACGCCGCGUGAGGGAUGAAGUAUUUCGGUAUGUAAACCUCGAAAGAAUGGGAAGAAUAAAUGACGGUACCAUUUAUAAGCUCCGGCUAACUACGUGCAAGCAGCCGCGGUAAUACGUAGGGAGCAAGCGUUGUUCGGAUUUACUGGGCGUAAAGGGCGCGUAGGCGGCGCGGUGAGUCACUUGUGAAAUCUCUGAGCUUAACUCAGAACGGCCAAGUGAUACUGCUGUGCUAGAGUGCGGAAGAGGCAACCGGAAUUCUUGGUGUAGCGGUGAAAUGCGUAGAUAUCAAGAGGAACACCUGAGCCGAAGGCGGGUUGCUGGGCCGACACUGACGCUGAUGCGCGAAAGCCAGGGGAGCAAACG
rnacentral:rRNA from 1 species